rnacentral:lncRNA from 1 species
CAAGGCUAUUCCUGCCUUGGCUAACAGAAGGCUUGGAAAGAAGUUGCCUGACUUACGGAGAGGCAGCAGAGGUUUGGCGCCACAAAACAGCGUUGCUACCUUAAAGAUGACAUCAGCUCCCCUGGAUCCAGAGCUAUUGUGUGAAGGUGUUGUCUUCUGCCCCAGGUCGCCCUUUCCCUUCAAGAAUACAAAGGAAACAGGGCCAAAUGUGGAAAAGAAGGAAAUGAGCACAUUGUGUCUGAGUUAGCUUCCCAGGAUCAAAUGUCCCCCUGCAUGAACCUUUGCAUGUAUUUAUGAAAUAAUAUUUUUCUUUGACAGGGCACAAAUGAACUCAGCAGCUCAGUUAUUGCUAUGCCAGACCUUUAUAACAUGCUUUAUGUGCUUCUCAAUAUGAUUGUAUAUUUCCUGUCUCUAUACAAACCUCUCUAUGUGUAAGUGUCAAAACGUUAUUCUGCUGGUAUUGUGGCCAAUAUCAGCUGGAAUUUUGUCUUUUACUUUGAGGAAGAGGGGUCAAAUUCAUAUUUGUUACUGAGAAAUGUGCUUUCACGUAAUGUGAGACCCUGUGUAUCACUCAGUGUUCCUGUGAAAGAAGAAGCAUCUCCAAAAUCACACAUAGUCAAAGGCAAUAGAAAGACUCACUUUAUAAGGUUUGGUCUUUUCUACAUCCCACAGUGGAACUUUAUGUCUUUUCUGCUCUAAAAUCAUGUUACUAAAGGACACAUGUGAGACAGCAGGUCAAAUUGGAAGAAAUGCACCAUUUAGAUCU